AGUAGCGGCGAGCGAACGGGGAGCAGCCCAGAGCCUGAAUCAGUGUGUGUGUUAGUGGAAGCGUCUGGAAAGGCGCGCGAUACAGGGUGACAGCCCCGUACACAAAAAUGCACAUACUGUGAGCUCGAUGAGUAGGGCGGGACACGUGGUAUCCUGUCUGAAUAUGGGGGGACCAUCCUCCAAGGCUAAAUACUCCUGACUGACCGAUAGUGAACCAGUACCGUGAGGGAAAGGCGAAAAGAACCCCGGCGAGGGGAGUGAAAAAGAACCUGAAACCGUGUACGUACAAGCAGUGGGAGCCUCUUAAUGGGGUGACUGCGUACCUUUUGUAUAAUGGGUCAGCGACUUAUAUUCUGUAGCAAGGUUAACCGAAUAGGGGAGCCGAAGGGAAACCGAGUCUUAACUGGGCGUUAAGUUGCAGGGUAUAGACCCGAAACCCGGUGAUCUAGCCAUGGGCAGGUUGAAGGUUGGGUAACACUAACUGGAGGACCGAACCGACUAAUGUUGAAAAAUUAGCGGAUGACUUGUGGCUGGGGGUGAAAGGCCAAUCAAACCGGGAGAUAGCUGGUUCUCCCCGAAAGCUAUUUAGGUAGCGCCUCGUGAAUUCAUCUCCGGGGGUAGAGCACUGUUUCGGCAAGGGGGUCAUCCCGACUUACCAACCCGAUGCAAACUGCGAAUACCGGAGAAUGUUAUCACGGGAGACACACGGCGGGUGCUAACGUCCGUCGUGAAGAGGGAAACAACCCAGACCGCCAGCUAAGGUCCCAAAGUCAUGGUUAAGUGGGAAACGAUGUGGGAAGGCCCAGACAGCCAGGAUGUUGGCUUAGAAGCAGCCAUCAUUUAAAGAAAGCGUAAUAGCUCACUGGUCGAGUCGGCCUGCGCGGAAGAUGUAACGGGGCUAAACCAUGCACCGAAGCUGCGGCAGCGACGCUUAUGCGUUGUUGGGUAGGGGAGCGUUCUGUAAGCCUGCGAAGGUGUGCUGUGAGGCAUGCUGGAGGUAUCAGAAGUGCGAAUGCUGACAUAAGUAACGAUAAAGCGGGUGAAAAGCCCGCUCGCCGGAAGACCAAGGGUUCCUGUCCAACGUUAAUCGGGGCAGGGUGAGUCGACCCCUAAGGCGAGGCCGAAAGGCGUAGUCGAUGGGAAACAGGUUAAUAUUCCUGUACUUGGUGUUACUGCGAAGGGGGGACGGAGAAGGCUAUGUUG
rnacentral:rRNA from 1 species